AUGUCAUGGGCGGCUUUCCAGCCAUGCCCCAUGAUCCCUUGGACGCGCCCCGUGGCGUCCUGGCCAGCCUCCCAACGCCCGUCGCCACGGUCGGCCCCGUGGUCUCGGCAGCUCCAAGUGACAAGCGCGCAUGUGCCUCUGUCGCCCCACCGAUAGCCAUCGCCAGCGCCCAGCCACAGGCAAAAGCCAACAGCGCCGCGCGCGCAGACAAUGCCGCGCGCGCAGACCCUGAUGCUAAAGACAAAGUUGCUGCCAACGGACUUGCUGCUGCUUUGUAGAAGACUAAGUCCUUUUCAUUGUAAAUAUAGAGUAGUUUUGCUGCAUUUUCUUUAAGUGUGAUUUUCCAGCUUUCAUAGGUCUAGUCAUGUAACUUUGGUUUAUUUCUUUUAAGCAUUAUUAAGGGGGACCAAGCAAUCAAAACUUUCAAGCAAGCAAACAAUUCUCUGUACUGGUGUCUCUCCCCCCCGACACCGUCUUGUUUUCUGUAAUAGCUUUCAUUCAAUGCAAUCAAGCUUUCUUUCAUUCUCAAUUCUCUUUUCUGCUCUCUCCAAUUGCUCAUGACAUUGGUUUUCCCGUACGGCACUGACAAUCUAGUCUAGCGUACGGAGGGGACCUCAGUUGGCGGACAGCAACCAUACUGACAUCGGUUGCCUAGCCUUACGUCGCCCUUCCAAGGAACUUCAGGAAGGCGCC
rnacentral:lncRNA from 1 species